GCUUGGUCUUCCUGCAUCUGCAGGGAUACUGGUUUUAAACAGUGAGUUGGAGGAUGUGGGUCUCAUCUACACUGUGCAUAAGAAGGGCAUCUUUCAAGCCCCAGGUUUCCCUUUCCUCUUUCCUCGGGCUCAGAAUCCUUCUCUGCUGCAGGCAGGCCACGCUGGCAUACCUGGAAGAGGAAAAGCAGACAAAAGUCUUGGAGCCUGGGACUAACCACUGCCUCUGUCCUCAGCAGGACCCCCAUCAAGGAGACCUGAAGAGAUGAUGCUGGAUCUUCUGGGACCAUUUCCUCUCCUCCUGGUGCUGCUGGGAUCAUGGGGGCCAGUGCCACUUGCUGCUAGUCCUCCAAACCUGAAAGGGCUCAAGGGUUUGAANN
rnacentral:lncRNA from 1 species